CACGUAGGGUGCGAGCGUUGUCCGGAAUUAUUGGGCGUAAAGAGCUCGUAGGCGGUUUGUCACGUCUGCUGUGAAAACUGGAGGCUCAACCUCCAGCCUGCAGUGGGUACGGGCAGACUAGAGUGCGGUAGGGGAGAUUGGAAUUCCUGGUGUAGCGGUGGAAUGCGCAGAUAUCAGGAGGAACACCGAUGGCGAAAGGCAGAUCUCUGGGCCGUAACUGACGCUGAGGAGCGAAAGCAUGGGGAGCGAACAGGG
rnacentral:rRNA from 1 species